GCUACUAAGAAGCAAGCCAUACAGUGAUUAGAAGCCUGAAGUGAAACCAGCAUAAGGCACUGCUUCCCCUAACAACAAAGAAAGCACAGAUUCAAAGCCAAGGGAAUCCAUAGUCAACCUGAACCUCCCAUUUGUGUCUUACUCUUCUGUCCAUGGGCCAUGCCAAUGCAGACAAUGAUGCAAUCCCUUUUCACACGUGACUUCAAGGAUUUAGAGAAAGCUGGCCUCUAGUUAUUAAGCACUGAAAGUUUUGUUGUUGUUGUUUGUUUUUUCUUAUCCUGAAUUCACACGGGGGUUUAUUUGGAAUGCUAUCUCCACACAAAAGGCUUAAUUAAGACUGGAGAGAAGAUGUCUGUGGCAGUUAUUGAUCUGUUUCCUCCUAGCCAUAUGGCCAUUCUCUUUACUCUUCAGGGUUGUAGAGGGCUAUCUGCUUUCGGCCCAGGUUUCUGCAGAUGAGACGCUGCUUAGGAAGAAGACAGAGAAGGAGGAAGAGGAAGAGAAGGGGGAGGAGGAAGAGGAAGAGGAAGAAGAGAGGAGGACGAGGAUGGCUAGCACAUUGACUUCUUACUCUCCAACCUGCAUGGGGCUGACUCUUACAAUGACAACAUUCCGCUGUGUCCUAGAACCUGCUAUCUGCUCUCUGUGCUCCCAAGCGCUCACAGCAUGUCUCCAGACUCUUGAUUGCUUUCUUACCCAAAUUAUCUCCGUGAUUGCCUGUCCUGAGGCUUUGGGGUAAGUCCUAGUUUCCCACAACCCUAAGGAAGAAUAAACCAUGCAAAACAUAAAGGAUACCAAAAAGACUUAUGGAUCCUGAUGUGUGCAUUCUGUAAAACAUACCUGGAUGUGUUGGGGAGUGGAUGCUGAAAUGAAGACAAGGAGCUUGCUUUAGCAAGGAUCAAAAGUGUGUGAAAGUGUGCACAUGCAAACGAGGUCCCCACCCCAGGAAAGUCACCCUGGAAUGGAAAUGACAAAGCAUGGAACACACACUAUCAAUUAUUUUCACUAAGCACUUAAGAUAUAGAAAACAAAAUCUGCUUUGGGAAUUGACUGAAUGUUUUAUUUAGCUUUUUUAUUGAGACAUUCUUUGAAAAAUGGCAUGAUGUAAAUAGUUUUACAAAGCAACAGUAUGAUCAAUCUCUAAACUAGAAUAUAAAUCUAAGCUUUCAUUAACUGCUGGUAGCCAGUUUAAAUUGUGGUCUUGUCCAUAGUGCCUAUCUAUCUAUGUAUGUCCAAGUUAUAUUAAAAACCUUUAAAUGGCUUUGUAAUAUCAGCCACAUCUAGCUAUUAUAAUAAUUAAUGGUACUAUUUUAUAAAUCAAUACAUGUAUUCUUGAUAAAUUCAUAUCCAGAUAAUGGUGUAAUUUAAAUAAAAAAUUAAUGUAAUAAAAGACACACAGAAAUGGGCAGGAAAUCUUUAAAGGUUAAGAGCCAAAUUUGUCUAAAUUCAUUUGUAACCUGUUUUGGAAAAGUUUAUAUUUAAAAUCAGUAGAGUUUUUACCUUGUUUCUGUAGAAUGAACCUUGCUAUUUCUAGGGUGGUAUCUAGAACUGAAUUUGUAAUAUAUUUUCUGUUUAAGCAAUUAAGUUUUAAGCACAGUUGGAAUAUGACAAAUAUCUUCCUGUUAUUUUCUGUUUUGUGAUUGUUAAAUAUUCUUCAGAAAAAUAGAACGAAACAAAUUGUAA